rnacentral:ncRNA from 1 species
ACGGAAGCCCGGUAAGGCCUAGGUCGAUCCGGAAGAGAAGGUUCGUUCUCCCAACCCGGGCGCCCAGCACGGUACUCGGCACCCACGCGGAGUCAUAGCCGCGAUAAUGGCAGUAGUGUUGCGGGCCUGCGUAAUUGCGAAAAGCAGAAAGUAUGAACAGCCCUUUGGGUGGGGUUGUGAUUUGAAGCGUCGCAAGAUCGCCGAGGCCACCCACGCAUCCCAAAAAAUGCACGCUUGGUAACCGAGUUCCGUGCUAGCGGGCGGCGGACCGAGAUAUCUCGGAACGCCGCCCGCUCUACAUG